UUUAUCUUGAGAGUUUGAUCCUGGCUCAGGACGAACGCUGGCGGCGUGCUUAACACAUGCAAGUCGAGCGGAGGCAGCACUUAACACUGAGUGCUUAGUGGUGAGAGCUUAAAGAAUAACACAAGAGCUGAGCAUUGAGUGUUAAGGGCUGCCUUAGCGGCGGACGGGUGAGUAACACGUGGGUAACCUGCCUCAUGGAGGGGGAUAACACUAAGAAAUUGGUGCUAAUACCGCAUAAAACCG
rnacentral:rRNA from 1 species